rnacentral:rRNA from 1 species
UACGUAGGGGGCAAGCGUUGUCCGGAUUUAUUGGGCGUAAAGCGCUCGCAGGUGGUUCGUCGCGUCGUGCGUGAAAGACCCCGGCUCAACUGGGGGAGGUCGUGCGAUACGGGCGGACUGGAGGCCAGUAGGGGGGAUGCGGAAUUCCGGGUGUAGUGGUGGAAUGCGCAGAUAUCGAGAGGAACACCUGCGGCGAAGGCGGGUUGCUGGGCUGACACUGACGCUGAUGCGCGAAAGCCAGGGGAGCGAAACGGG